GUGUUCGUUAUUUAGGGCGCAUGGUGGAUGCCUUGGCAUGCUGGGCCGAUGAAGGACGUGUAAGGCUGCGUUAAGCCUCGGGGAGUUGUCAAUAGAGCGUUGAUCCGAGGAUGUCCGAAUGGGGAAACCUGGCACCUGUUAUGGGGUGUUACCCUUCAGUGAAUUCAUAGCUGUUGUGGGGGUUUACGCGGGGAAGUGAAACAUCUCAGUACCCGUAGGAGAAGAAAAUAAAAUUAUGAUUCUGCUAGUAGUGGCGAACGAACGUGGAUGAGGCUAAACCGUGUGCAUGUGAUACUUGGUAGGGGUUGUGUGUGCGGUGUUGUGGGCCCCAAUGUGAAUCAGCUACCACUGGUUUGCUUGUGUGUUGUUGUUAGGUGAAGUGGUGUGGAAACGCCUACCGUAGAGGGUGAUAGUCCCGUAGUUGAAGGCUUCAAUGCAUGGGUUGUUGGGUUGCCCGAGUAGCAGCGGGCUCGUGGAAUCUGCUGUGAAUCUGCCGGGACCACCCGGUAAGCCUAAAUACUCAGUGUGACCGAUAGUGUAUGAGUACCGUGAGGGAAUGGUGAAAAGUACCCCGGGAGGGGAGUGAAAUAGUUCCUGAAACCAUGUGCUUACAAUCCGUCAGAGCACCUGUAUGUGUGUGAUGGCGUGCCUUUUGAAGAAUGAGCCUGCGAGUCAGCGGCAUGUCGCGAGGUUAACCCGUGUGGGGUAGCCGUAGGGAAA
rnacentral:rRNA from 1 species